rnacentral:rRNA from 1 species
AAAUUGAAGAGUUUGAUCAUGGCUCAGAUUGAACGCUGGCGGCAGGCCUAACACAUGCAAGUCGAGCGGAAACGAGUUAUCWGAACCUUCGGGGAACGAUAACGGCGUCGAGCGGCGGACGGGUGAGUAAUGCCUAGGAAAUUGCCCUGAUGUGGGGGAUAACCAUUGGAAACGAUGGCUAAUACCGCAUGAUGCCUACGGGCCAAAGAGGGGGACCUUCGGGCCUCUCGCGUCAGGAUAUGCCUAGGUGGGAUUAGCUAGUUGGUGAGGUAAGGGCUCACCAAGGCGACGAUCCCUAGCUGGUCUGAGAGGAUGA